rnacentral:rRNA from 1 species
GAUGAACGCUGGCGGCGUGCCUAAUACAUGCAAGUCGAGCGAACGGACGAGAAGCUUGCUUCUCUGAUGUUAGCGGCGGACGGGUGAGUAACACGUGGAUAACCUACCUAUAAGACUGGGAUAACUUCGGGAAACCGUAGCUAAUACCGGAUGAUAUUUUGAACCGCAUGGUUCAAAAGUGAAAGACGGUCUUGCUGUCACUUAUAGAUGGAUCCGCGCUGCAUUAGCUAGUUGGUAAGGUAACGGCUUACCAAGGCAACGAUGCAUAGCCGACCUGAGAGGGUGGUCGGCCACACUGGAACUGAGACUCGGUCCAGACUCCGACGGGAGGCAGCAGUAGGGAAUCUUCCGCAAUGGGCGAGAGCCUGACGGAGCAACGCCGCGUGAGUGAUGAAGGUCUUCGGAUCGUAAAACUCUGUUAUUAGGGAAGAACAUAUGUGUAAUUAACUGUGCACAUCUUGACGGUACCGAAUCAGAAAGCCCCGGCUAACUACGUG